rnacentral:rRNA from 1 species
AGGAGAGUUUGAUCCUGGCUCAGGAUGAACGCUGGCGGCGUGCCUAACACAUGCAAGUCGAACGGAGAUUUAACGCUGAUGAAGCUUCGGCAGAUUCUUGUUAAAUCUUAGUGGCGGACGGGUGAGUAACGCGUGGGCAACCUGCCUCAUACUGGGGGAUAACAGCUGGAAACGACUGUUAAUACCGCAUAAGCGCACGGUAUCGCAUGAUACAGUGUGAAAAACUCCGGUGGUAUGAGAUGUGCCCGCGUCAGAUUAGCCAGUUGGCAGGGUAACGGCCUACCAAAGCGACGAUCUGUAGCCGGCCUGAGAGGGCGGACGGCCACAUUGGGACUGAGACACGGCCCAAACUCCUACGGGAGGCAGCAGUGGGGGAUAUUGCACAAUGGAGGAAACUCUGAUGCAGCGACGCCGCGUGAGUGAAGAAGUAUUUCGGUAUGUAAAGCUCUAUCAGCAGGGAAGAAAGACUCGUAAGAGAGAUGACGGUACCUGACUAAGAAGCCCCGGCUAACUACGUGCCAGCAGCCGCGGUAAUACGUAGGGGGCAAGCGUUAUCCGGAUUUACUGGGUGUAAAGGGAGCGCAGACGGCUUAGCAAGUCUGAAGUGAAACCCCACGGCUCAACCGUGGGCUUGCUUUGGAAACUGUUAGGCUAGAGUACUGGAGAGGUAAGCGGAAUUCCUAGUGUAGCGGUGAAAUGCGUAGAUAUUAGGAGGAACAUCGGUGGCGAAGGCGGCUUACUGGACAGCAACUGACGUUGAGGCUCGAAGGCGUGGGGAGCAAACAGGAUUAGAUACCCUGGUAGUCCCCU